GUGGCUGAUCAAACUGAUGAACAUUUAGAUACGAGAAAACAUCCAGUGGCUGAUUAAAUUGAUGAACAUUAAGAUAUGAGAAACCAUCCAGUGGCUGAUUAAAUUGACGAACAUUAAGAUAUGAGAAACCAUCCAGUGGCUGAUUAAAUUGACGAACAUUAAGAUAUGAGAAACCAUCCAGUGGCUGAUUAAAUUGACGAACAUUAAG